rnacentral:tRNA from 1 species
AGUGGUUAAGCUUUUGGCUAAUAACCAAAAGGUCGGGAGUUCGAAUCUACCAGCCGCUC